CCAAUCGAACUCGGAGAUAGCUGGUUCUCUCCGAAAUAGCUUUAGGGCUAGCCUCAAUUAACAUUACCGCAGGUAAAGCACUGAAUGGGCUAGGGGGCGAAAGCUUACUGAACCCUAUCAAACUCAGAAUGGCGGAUAAUGAAUAAUUGGGAGUCACACUACGUGAGAUAAGUUUCGUGGUGGAAAGGGAAACAGCCCAGACCCACAGCUAAGGUCCCAAAGUACAGUUAAGUGGAAAAGGAUGUGAAGUUGCGCAGACAACCAGGAUGUUGGCUCAGAAGCAGCCACUCAUUCAAAGAGUGCGUAAUAGCUCACUGGUCGAGUGAUUUUGCGCCGAAAAUUUAACGGGGCUAAACUGUACACCGAAGCUUGGGAAUAUACCUUAUGGUAUGUUGGUAGGAGAGCGUCGUAUGCGGGGUGAAGUCGUAGCGAAAGCGGCGGUGGACUGCAUAGGAGUGAGAAUGCCGGAAUGAGUAGCGAGAAUUAUGUGAGAAUCAUAAUGGCCGAAAGACUAAGGUUUUAGAAGGAAGGUUCGUCCGCUUCUAGUUAGCCGGGAGCUAAGGCGAGGCCGAAAGGCGUAGUCGAUGCACAUACGGUUGAGAUUCCGUAGCCACCUUAAAUUUAAACUAAGGGACACAUUGAAAGGGAAUAACCCAGGCGUUGGUUGACCUGGGCGUAAGGGAACGAAAAUAAGUAGUGAAGUAUUCUUGGACAGUGGCGAGAAAAGCUUAGUGUAUAUUAUUAGGGUGCCCGUACUGCAAACCGACACAGGUAGUCAGGAAGAGAAUUCUAAGGCCAUCGGGAGAAGCGUUGUUAAGGAACUCGGCAAAUUGACCCCGUAACUUCGGAAUAAGGGGUGCUCACGAGAGUGAGCCGCAGUGAAUAGGUCCAGGCAACUGUUUAUCAAAAACACAGCUCUCUGCUAAAUCGUAAGAUGACGUAUAGGGGGUGACACCUGCCCGGUGCUGGAAGGUUAAGAGGAGGAGUGCAAGCCCCGAAUCGAAGCCCCAGUAAACGGCGGCCGUAACUAUAACGGUCCUAAGGUAGCGAAAUUCCUUGUCGGGUAAGUUCCGACCCGCACGAAUGGUGUAAUGAUCUGGACACUGUCUCAACAACGCACCCGGCGAAAUUGUAGUACCGGUGAAGAUGCCGGUUACCCGCGGCAAGACGGAAAGACCCCAUGGAGCUUUACUGUAACUUAAUAUUGGGUCUCGGUACUUUAUGUACAGGAUAGGCGGGAGACUUGGAAACUAGCACGCCAGUGUUAGCGGAGUCAUCCUUGGGAUACCGCUCUUAAGGUAUUGAGAUUCUAACCUGCAGCCUUGAAUCAGGUUGGGGGACAUUGUUAGGUGGGCAGUUUGACUGGGGCGGUCGCCUCCAAAAGAGUAACGGAGGCGUUCAAAGGUUGGCUCAGCAUGGACGGAAACCAUGCUUUAGAGUAUAAACGCAUAAGCCAGCCUAACUGCGAGACUGACGGGUCGAGCAGUAACGAAAGUUGGAGUUAGUGAUCCGGCGGUAUGUGAGUGGAAAUGCCGUCGCUCAACGGAUAAAAGCUACCCUGGGGAUAACAGGCUGAUCUCCCCCAAGAGUCCACAUCGACGGGGAGGUUUGGCACCUCGAUGUCGGCUCAUCACAUCCUGGGGCUGUAUUCGGUCCCAAGGGUUCGGCUGUUCGCCGAUUAAAGUGGUACGCGAGCUGGGUUCAGAACGUCGUGAGACAGUUCGGUCCCUAUCUGUCGUGGGCGUAGGAUAUUUGAGGAGUGCUGUUCCUAGUACGAGAGGACCGGAAUGGACGCACCGCUGGUGUAUCGGUUGUCAUGCCAAUGGCACGGCCGAGCAGCUAUGUGCGGAUCGGAUAAACGCUGAAAGCAUCUAAGCGUGAAGCCGUCUCCAAGAUGAGAUAUCCCACUGUUUACAGUUAAGACCCCUUGUAGACUACGAGGUUGAUAGGUUGGAUGUGUAAGUACAGUGAUGUAUUUAGCUAGCCAAUACUAAUAGGUCGAGGGCUUGACCU
rnacentral:rRNA from 1 species